UACAGAGGGUGCAAGCGUUAAUCGGAGUUACUGGGCGUAAAGGGUACGUAGGCGGUCAAUUAAGCCAGUUGUGAAAUCCCUGGGCUUAACCUGGGAACUGCAAUUGGGACUGGUCGACUAGAGUCGAAGAGAGGGAAGCGGAAUUUCCGGUGUAGCGGUGAAAUGCGUAGAUAUCGGAAGGAACACCCGUGGCGAAGGCGGCUUCCUGGCUUCAGACUGACGCUGAGGUACGAAAGCGUGGGUAGCGAACAGG
rnacentral:rRNA from 1 species